GAACGUGUGCAGCCUCAGAGGGCUGGAGCCACCUGCCAAUUAGGUUUGAUGGUCUUCAGCUGUCCUUGUACGGCACACGGUGACGGCAGCAGCCUCUGACUCGAGUUGGAGCCAGUGGCCCGAGAACCUCUCAGCUCAGGGGAGGCGACCGAGUCAGGGAUCACAGGACCCUCUGAGCCAGCCGGGCGUCCUUCCUUCGUGGCAAAGGUGGAUUCACAUCCCCGCCUAUGGGAAAGAUAAGUGGAGGACUAUCACCUGGAGAGGGGAUGGGAGCUGGGUCCAGUUUUAUGGUUAGGAGGGAGGGAUUUUCAAAUUAACAUAGGGGAAAGGGUCUGCCCUAAGAGGCCCUUGGCACACAUAGGAGGAGCAGUUUACUUUUCAUCACUGGAGUAGGAUGUGCAGGGCAGAGUCGUUCAGGUCUGUGUCGUGUCCUUUGUCCAGUCUGUGUUUUGUGUCUUACAAUUCACAAUCACAAUUCAAAAUUGUUGCACCACAGCACUUGUCCAGAAAUGUGCCACUGGAGUUUGUGUUUGGCCUGGAACUGCUCUGCCCUGCAGUGUAGACUUGAG